GAAUAGGGGAGCCGGAGGGAAACCGAGUCUUAACCGGGCGUUAAGUUGCAGGGUAUAGACCCGAAACCCGGUGAUCUAGCCAUGGGCAGGUUGAAGGUUGGGUAACACUAACUGGAGGACCGAACCGACUAAUGUUGAAAAAUUAGCGGAUGACCUGUGGCUGGGGGUGAAAGGCCAAUCAAACCGGGAGAUAGCUGGUUCUCCCCGAAAGCUAUUUAGGUAGCGCCUCGUGAAUUCAUCUCCGGGGGUAGAGCACUGUUUCGGCUAGGGGGCCAUCCCGGCUUACCAACCCGAUGCAAACUGCGAAUACCGGAGAAUGUUAUCACGGGAGACACACGGCGGGUGCUAACGUCCGUCGUGAAGAGGGAAACAACCCAGACCGCCAGCUAAGGUCCCAAAGUCAUGGUUAAGUGGGAAACGAUGUGGGAAGGCCCAGACAGCCAGGAUGUUGGCUUAGAAGCAGCCAUCAUUUAAAGAAAGCGUAAUAGCUCACUGGUCGAGUCGGCCUGCGCGGAAGAUGUAACGGGGCUAAACCAUGCACCGAAGCUGCGGCAGCGACGCUUAUGCGUUGUUGGGUAGGGGAGCGUUCUGUAAGCCUGUGAAGGUGUGUCGUGAGGCAUGCUGGAGGUAUCAGAAGUGCGAAUGCUGACAUAAGUAACGAUAAAGCGGGUGAAAAGCCCGCUCGCCGGAAGACCAAGGGUUCCUGUCCAACGUUAAUCGGGGCAGGGUGAGUCGACCCCUAAGGCGAGGCCGAAAGGCGUAGUCGAUGGGAAACGGGUUAAUAUUCCCGUACUUGGUGUUACUGCGAAGGGGGGACGGAGAAGGCUAUGUUGGCCGGGCGACGGUUGUCCCGGUUUAAGCGUGUAGGUGUGUGUUCCAGGUAAAUCCGGUUCACUUUAACACUGAGGCGUGAUGACGAGGCACUACGGUGCUGAAGUAACAAAUGCCCUGCUUCCAGGAAAAGCCUCUAAGCAUCAGGUAACAUCAAAUCGUACCCCAAACCGACACAGGUGGUCAGGUAGAGAAUACCAAGGCGCUUGAGAGAACUCGGGUGAAGGAACUAGGCAAAAUGGUGCCGUAACUUCGGGAGAAGGCACGCUGACACGUAGGUGAAGUGAUUUACUCAUGGAGCUGAAGUCAGUCGAAGAUACCAGCUGGCUGCAACUGUUUAUUAAAAACACAGCACUGUGCAAACACGAAAGUGGACGUAUACGGUGUGACGCCUGCCCGGUGCCGGAAGGUUAAUUGAUGGGGUCAGCGCAAGCGAAGCUCCUGAUCGAAGCCCCGGUAAACGGCGGCCGUAACUAUAACGGUCCUAAGGUAGCGAAAUUCCUUGUCGGGUAAGUUCCGACCUGCACGAAUGGCGUAAUGAUGGCCAGGCUGUCUCCACCCGAGACUCAGUGAAAUUGAACUCGCUGUGAAGAUGCAGUGUACCCGCGGCAAGACGGAAAGACCCCGUGAACCUUUACUAUAGCUUGACACUGAACAUUGAGCCUUGAUGUGUAGGAUAGGUGGGAGGCUUUGAAGUGUGGACGCCAGUCUGCAUGGAGCCGACCUUGAAAUACCACCCUUUAAUGUUUGAUGUUCUAACGUGGACCCGUUACCCGGGUUGCGGACAGUGUCUGGUGGGUAGUUUGACUGGGGCGGUCUCCUCCUAAAGAGUAACGGAGGAGCACGAAGGUUGGCUAAUCCUGGUCGGACAUCAGGAGGUUAGUGCAAUGGCAUAAGCCAGCUUGACUGCGAGCGUGACGGCGCGAGCAGGUGCGAAAGCAGGUCAUAGUGAUCCGGUGGUUCUGAAUGGAAGGGCCAUCGCUCAACGGAUAAAAGGUACUCCGGGGAUAACAGGCUGAUACCGCCCAAGAGUUCAUAUCGACGGCGGUGUUUGGCACCUCGAUGUCGGCUCAUCACAUCCUGGGGCUGAAGUAGGUCCCAAGGGUAUGGCUGUUCGCCAUUUAAAGUGGUACGCGAGCUGGGUUUAGAACGUCGUGAGACAGUUCGGUCCCUAUCUGCCGUGGGCGCUGGAGAACUGAGGGGGGCUGCUCCUAGUACGAGAGGACCGGAGUGGACGCAUCACUGGUGUUCGGGUUGUCAUGCCAAUGGCACUGCCCGGUAGCUAAAUGCGGAAGAGAUAAGUGCUGAAAGCAUCUAAGCACGAAACUUGCCCCGA
rnacentral:rRNA from 1 species